CAUUCGUGGAGGAGGAUGCCUAAGGCAGGACUGGUGACUGGGGUGAAGUCGUAAACAAGGUAGUCCGUACCGGAAGGUGUGGCUGGAUCACCUCCUUUUUUAGG
rnacentral:rRNA from 1 species